rnacentral:lncRNA from 1 species
GAAGGAGUACCAUCUUCAUUGUUUCAGAGAAAGGAUGCUUGAUUCCUAUUUCUUUAUCUUUUAAUUAACAGGAGAACCAGUGAAGAAAUUUCAAUAAAGAGUUACUCCAUUUCUUCCUAAGUACUAUUGAUUAUCCUGGAAUAAACCUACAGAAAUUUGAGAGCAGCGUCAGGAUUAUUGUGAGUCAAGAUCAUGGUAACUGAGGGCCAAGAGAGUCACAGAGUGCUGGCAAACACUAUUCCAUCUCAGGACAAUACCUUUUCAGACAUCAAAAAGCAAAUUAUGAGCAAAACCAGUGAAGGCUGGAAGGUUUAUUUUAAGACAGGAGGUCAAAACCAGGCUGCAGAAAACAGAAUAGGACUUUUGGAUGUCAGGGAAGGAGUGGGCUAAGACAUCAACAUAAGAAAGGUGACCCAGGGAGGACAUCAAGGAAAUCUGAACCAGAUGCAUUGCUUUGAACAUAGGCCCAUAGAAGAUCCAGUCAAAACGUUUCAGCUGUUAUUAUACAUGU